GUACUGAUGAAGAGUCCCACACCAGGGUGAAACGGCUGUCCAGUAU
rnacentral:hammerhead_ribozyme from 1 species